GAUGAACGCUGGCGGCGUGCUUAACACAUGCAAGUCGAACGAGAAGUGAAGACGGAAACCUUCGGGCGGAAGGCUUUAUUUCGAGUGGCGGACGGGUGAGUAACGCGUGGGUAACCUGCCUCAUACAGGGGGAUAACAGUUGGAAACGACUGUUAAUACCGCAUAGGACCACAGCACCGCAUGGUGCGGGGGUAAAAACUCCGGUGGUAUGAGAUGGACCCGCGUUCGAUUAGCCAGUUGGCGGGGUAACGGCCCACCAAAGCGACGAUCGAUAGCCGAUCUGAGAGGAUGACCGGCCACAUUGGGACUGAGACACGGCCCAAACUCCUACGGGAGGCAGCAGUGGGGAAUAUUGCACAAUGGGGGAAACCCUGAUGCAGCGACGCCGCGUGAGUGAAGAAGUAUUUCGGUAUGUAAAGCUCUAUCAGCAGGGAAGAAAAUGACGGUACCUGAGUAAGAAGCCCCGGCUAACUACGUG
rnacentral:rRNA from 1 species